rnacentral:rRNA from 1 species
GACGAACGCUGGCGGCGUGCUUAACACAUGCAAGUCGAACGGUGAAGCGCCUUCCUUUUUGGUGGGUGUGGAUGAGUGGCGAACGGGUGAGUAACACGUGAGUAACCUGCCCCCUUCUUCUGGAUAACCGCAUGAAAGUGUGGCUAAUACGGGAUAUUCUGGGUCUGUCGCAUGAUGGGUCUGGGAAAGAUAUUGUUUCGGUGGGGGAUGGGCUCGCGGCCUAUCAGCUUGUUGGUGGGGUGAUGGCCUACCAAGGCGGUGACGGGUAGCCGGCCUGAGAGGGUGGACGGUCACACUGGGACGGAGACACGGCCCAGACGCCUACGGGAGGCAGCAGUGGGGAAUAUUGCACAAUGGGCGCAAGCCUGAUGCAGCGACGCCGCGUGAGGGAUGGAGGCCUUCGGGUGGUGAACCUCUUUCGCCAGUGAAGCAGGCCUGCCUCGUUUGUGGGUGGGUUGACGGUAGCUGGAUAAGAAGCGCCGGCUAACUACGU